rnacentral:rRNA from 1 species
AUGUUUGCGGAUGUGUUGAGAAGGAACCUCAAUGUUCAGUUCUGGCGUGGUAUAUUGGAAAGGGGGAUACGAAUGGUUAAAAGAAACCUCUCCAUAUAUGGUGUGCACCCAACCAUCCUUAUAGAACAAGGCCAUCCGGUGGACAUAACGGACUUUGCAUUGCAUCCACUUAGCAUGACACGUUAUACAGUUAAUGUUUCAACCAAGAAGCAAUCGCCAAGUGUGACAUUUGGGCAAUUGAUAACAGAUCCUAGUGUUAGACCAAAAGAAGACUUCAUUUUAAUUUCAUGGGAAUCAAGGAUACCCCCUCAUAACUCGUUUGCUCAUUUUGUUACGAGUCAUGCUCAGGAUACACAUGAAGGGCCAGGGAGGAAGCGACGAGGAGUGCCUAUGUAA